AGGUGAUGGGUUCGAGGCACGCUG
rnacentral:siRNA from 1 species